rnacentral:rRNA from 1 species
AUGAUAAUCUACAUAAUCCACCAUUUGAAACGAUUAAUAGCUCUUGCCAGAAAAGAGGAUGAACAUAAAAAUAUCUUUCUGCAGUUUAGACAUGUUUGCAUGGCCCCUUAUGUAUACAUUACCAAUGCAGUACUGUUUAUUAUCCAUGAUUUUUUAUUACUAUUAUUAUUCUCUUUUAGUGAGGAGCUUGAUAGGAAGAGAUCUCAAGCGCGAUCUCAAGCGCACGCACUAUACGAGGCUUCAGGAGGAAGGAUUCUAUGUUGUUCUAUUAUCUCCCCUUCUAGAACAGUUUUAACAUGGUCCCUCUGUAGUUCUUUCUGUAUAUGUACCUUGCAUAGGGUGUAG